rnacentral:siRNA from 1 species
AAUGUCGUUUCCGCGUCAUGUUCG